rnacentral:lncRNA from 1 species
AUCUUGAAAACGGAAAAUAAAAACAGCAGACCUAUGAAGGUCGAAGGGGAAGAAAAGCUGUAUCGAUUGUUGAGAUCUGGCGACUUGUUUAAAUUUCAUCAGCCUCACUUCUAUGAACUCUCAGAGCUGAUUACCAACUCCUACCACUGUUAACCCUCAUCCAGGAACAAGCUUAUGUCUUUAACAUUCUGAGUGGGCUUCAGCAUCCUUGCAUAUGUUCAAUUCUUAAAAACCUGUUGAAAUAAAAGAUCAGGAGACAUAGGAAGGAUGCCAGAAGAGAGCGUGGCCUCACGUGUACCAGCUCUCUGCUCUCCUUUGCCUUGGGACGUUCCAUCCCUGGAAGUUUCCCUGCCCACAUCUUUGUAGAGAGUCCAUUCUCCAAGCUUCAGUGUGUCAUCUGUGAGGACCGUGACCCACCUGGUACAUCGCCUCAGGGCAUUCAUUUCAGGCUCCUUCUAAAUGGCCAAGGCACCCUUGGAAAUGCAAUGCUACAUCUCAAUGGGAUUUUCCAGUACAAAGAUUCUUUUCAAAUAACAUAAUUGUGGAUACACACCACUCCUACAGUGCUGCACUGAUGAGGAAACUGAAACAGAAAAUCCAGAGUAAAUUCCACCAGGCCACACAGCAAGGUCUGAUAGAGCCAGGAGAGACUUUAUGAAAUCCAGACUCUCACACUAAUGCUCUAUCAGCUAGACCUCCAUGUGAGUCUCCCCAAUGUAGGUAGGAAGUGCUUUCCC